CGGCAAUGACUCGGUACUCGCUAUGCAAGUCGAACGAUGAUUAUCUAACUUGCUAGAUAUGAUUAGUGGCGGACGGGUGAGUAACAUUUAGGAAUCUGCCUAGUAGUGGGGGAUAGCUCGGGGAAACUCGAAUUAAUACCGCAUACGACCUACGGGUGAAAGGGGGCGCAAGCUCUUGCUAUUAGAUGAGCCUAAAUCAGAUUAGCUAGUUGGUGGGGUAAAGGCCCACCAAGGCGACGAUCUGUAACUGGUCUGAGAGGAUGAUCAGUCACACCGGAACUGAGACACGGUCCGGACUCCUACGGGAGGCAGCAGUGGGGAAUAUUGGACAAUGGGGGCAACCCUGAUCCAGCCAUGCCGCGUGUGUGAAGAAGGCCUUUUGGUUGUAAAGCACUUUAAGCAGGGAGGAGAGGCUAAUGGUUAAUACCCAUUAGAUUAGACGUUACCUGCAGAAUAAGCACCGGCUAACUCUGUGCCAGCAGCCGCGGUAAUACAGAGGGUGCGAGCGUUAAUCGGAAUUACUGGGCGUAAAGCGAGUGUAGGUGGCUCAUUAAGUCACAUGUGAAAUCCCCGGGCUUAACCUGGGAACUGCAUGUGAUACUGGUGGUGCUAGAAUAUGUGAGAGGGAAGUAGAAUUCCAGGUGUAGCGGUGAAAUGCGUAGAGAUCUGGAGGAAUACCGAUGGCGAAGGCAGCUUCCUGGCAUAAUAUUGACACUGAGAUUCGAAAGCGUGGGUAGCAAACAGGAUUAGAUACCCUGGUAGUCCACGCCGUAAACGAUGUCUACUAGCCGUUGGGGUCCUUGAGACUUUAGUGGCGCAGUUAACGCGAUAAGUAGACCGCCUGGGGAGUACGGCCGCAAGGUUAAAACUCAAAUGAAUUGACGGGGGCCCGCACAAGCGGUGGAGCAUGUGGUUUAAUUCGAUGCAACGCGAAGAACCUUACCUGGUCUUGACAUAGUGAGAAUCCUGCAGAGAUGCGGGAGUGCCUUCGGGAAUUCACAUACAGGUGCUGCAUGGCUGUCGUCAGCUCGUGUCGUGAGAUGUUGGGUUAAGUCCCGCAACGAGCGCAACCCUUUUCCUUAUUUGCCAGCGGGUUAAGCCGGGAACUUUAAGGAUACUGCCAGUGACAAACUGGAGGAAGGCGGGGACGACGUCAAGUCAUCAUGGCCCUUACGACCAGGGCUACACACGUGCUACAAUGGUAGGUACAGAGGGUUGCUACACAGCGAUGUGAUGCUAAUCUCAAAAAGCCUAUCGUAGUCCGGAUUGGAGUCUGCAACUCGACUCCAUGAAGUCGGAAUCGCUAGUAAUCGCAGAUCAGAAUGCUGCGGUGAAUACGUUCCCGGGCCUUGUACACACCGCCCGUCACACCAUGGGAGUCUAUUGCACCAGAAGUAGGUAGCCUAACGCAAGAGGGCGCUCAUACAUUGGUGUCUGGUAUCGG
rnacentral:rRNA from 1 species